GACGUAGGGCGCGAGCGUUGUCCGGAUUUAUUGGGCGUAAAGAGCUCGUAGGCGGCUUGUCGCGUCGGCCGUGAAAUCUCCACGCUUAACGUGGAGCGUGCGGUCGAUACGGGCAGACUUGGAGUUCGGUAGGGGAGACUGGAAUUCCUGGUGUAGCGGUGAAAUGCGCAGAUAUCAGGAGGAACACCGGUGGCGAAGGCGGGUCUCUGGGCCGAUGACUG
rnacentral:rRNA from 1 species